UUGGCUUAGAAGCAGCCAUCAUUUAAAGAGUGCGUAAUAGCUCACUAGUCGAGUGACACUGCGCCGAAAAUGUACCGGGGCUAAACAUAUUACCGAAGCUGUGGAUUGUCCUUUGGACAAUGGUAGGAGAGCGUUCUAAGGGCGUUGAAGCAUGAUCGUAAGGACAUGUGGAGCGCUUAGAAGUGAGAAUGCCGGUGUGAGUAGCGAAAGACGGGUGAGAAUCCCGUCCACCGAUUGACUAAGGUUUCCAGAGGAAGGCUCGUCCGCUCUGGGUUAGUCGGGUCCUAAGCUGAGGCCGACAGGCGUAGGCGAUGGAUAACAGGUUGAUAUUCCUGUACCACCUAUAAUCGUUUUAAUCGAUGGGGGGACGCAGUAGGAUAGGCGAAGCGUGCGAUUGGAUUGCACGUCUAAGCAGUAAGGCUGAGUAUUAGGCAAAUCCGGUACUCGUUAAGGCUGAGCUGUGAUGGGGAGAAGACAUUGUGUCUUCGAGUCGUUGAUUUCACACUGCCGAGAAAAGCCUCUAGAUAGAAAAUAGGUGCCCGUACCGCAAACCGACACAGGUAGUCAAGAUGAGAAUUCUAAGGUGAGCGAGCGAACUCUCGUUAAGGAACUCGGCAAAAUGACCCCGUAACUUCGGGAGAAGGGGUGCUCUUUAGGGUUAACGCCCAGAAGAGCCGCAGUGAAUAGGCCCAAGCGACUGUUUAUCAAAAACACAGGUCUCUGCUAAACCGUAAGGUGAUGUAUAGGGGCUGACGCCUGCCCGGUGCUGGAAGGUUAAGAGGAGUGGUUAGCUUCUGCGAAGCUACGAAUCGAAGCCCCAGUAAACGGCGGCCGUAACUAUAACGGUCCUAAGGUAGCGAAAUUCCUUGUCGGGUAAGUUCCGACCCGCACGAAAGGCGUAACGAUUUGGGCACUGUCUCAACG
rnacentral:rRNA from 1 species